GAGGAAAGUCCGGGCCCCACAGAGCAGGAUGCCGGCUAACGGCCGGGCGCAGCAAGCUUCGCAAGAAGCCCAAGGCGACAGACACCAGUGCAACAGAAACAUACCGCCUAAGUCCGCAAGGACCGGCAAGGGUGAAAUCGUGCGGUAAGAGCGCACGGCCGUCCUGGUAACAGUGGCGGCGGGCAACCUCAUCCGGGGCAAGGCCAAAUAGGGGAGCAUUGGCGUGGCUCGCGUCGCUCCCGGGUAGGCUGCUAGAGGCCGUCGGCAACGACGGUCCCAGAGGAAUGGUUGCCCACGACAGAACCCGGCUUA
rnacentral:RNase_P_RNA from 1 species